rnacentral:rRNA from 1 species
GACGAACGCUGGCGGCGUGCCUAAUACAUGCAAGUCGAACGAACUCUGGUAUUGAUUGGUGCUUGCAUCAUGAUUUACAUUUGAGUGAGUGGCGAACUGGUGAGUAACACGUGGGAAAUCUGCCCAGAAGCGGGGGAUAACACCUGGAAACAGAUGCUAAUACCGCAUAACAACUUGGACCGCAUGGUCCGAGUUUGAAAGAUGGCUUCGGCUAUCACUUUUGGAUGGUCCCGCGGCGUAUUAGCUAGAUGGUGGGGUAACGGCUCACCAUGGCAAUGAUACGUAGCCGACCUGAGAGGGUAAUCGGCCACAUUGGGACUGAGACACGGCCCAAACUCCUACGGGAGGCAGCAGUAGGGAAUCUUCCACAAUGGACGAAAGUCUGAUGGAGCAACGCCGCGUGAGUGAAGAAGGGUUUCGGCUCGUAAAACUCUGUUGUUAAAGAAGAACAUAUCUGAGAGUAACUGUUCAGGUAUUGACGGUAUUUAACCAGAAAGCCACGGCUAACUACGUGCCAGCAGCCGCGGUAAUACGUAGGUGGCAAGCGUUGUCCGGAUUUAUUGGGCGUAAAGCGAGCGCAGGCGGUUUUUUAAGUCUGAUGUGAAAGCCUUCGGCUCAACCGAAGAAGUGCAUCGGAAACUGGGAAACUUGAGUGCAGAAGAGGACAGUGGAACUCCAUGUGUAGCGGUGAAAUGCGUAGAUAUAUGGAAGAACACCAGUGGCGAAGGCGGCUGUCUGGUCUGUAACUGACGCUGAGGCUCGAAAGUAUGGGUAGCAAACAGGAUUAGAUACCCUGGUAGUCCAUACCGUAAACGAUGAAUGCUAAGUGUUGGAGGGUUUCCGCCCUUCAGUGCUGCAGCUAACGCAUUAAGCAUUCCGCCUGGGGAGUACGGCCGCAAGGCUGAAACUCAAAGGAAUUGACGGGGGCCCGCACAAGCGGUGGAGCAUGUGGUUUAAUUCGAAGCUACGCGAAGAACCUUACCAGGUCUUGACAUACUAUGCAAAUCUAAGAGAUUAGACGUUCCCUUCGGGGACAUGGAUACAGGUGGUGCAUGGUUGUCGUCAGCUCGUGUCGUGAGAUGUUGGGUUAAGUCCCGCAACGAGCGCAACCCUUAUUAUCAGUUGCCAGCAUUAAGUUGGGCACUCUGGUGAGACUGCCGGUGACAAACCGGAGGAAGGUGGGGAUGACGUCAAAUCAUCAUGCCCCUUAUGACCUGGGCUACACACGUGCUACAAUGGAUGGUACAACGAGUUGCGAACUCGCGAGAGUAAGCUAAUCUCUUAAAGCCAUUCUCAGUUCGGAUUGUAGGCUGCAACUCGCCUACAUGAAGUCGGAAUCGCUAGUAAUCGCGGAUCAGCAUGCCGCGGUGAAUACGUUCCCGGGCCUUGUACACACCGCCCGUCACACCAUGAGAGUUUGUAACACCCAAAGUCGGUGGGGUAACCUUUUAGGAACCAGCCGCCUAAGGUGGGACAGAUGAUUAGGGUG